rnacentral:rRNA from 1 species
UAAGUAAGCGGAGGAAAAGAAACUAAAUAGGAUUCUCUUAGUAAUGGCGAAUGAACUGGGAUGAGCUCACCAUGGAAAUCGGGGUCCUCGACCUUGAAUUGUAGUCUUGAGACGCAUCGCCAACAAAGGCGCAGGUGUAAGCCUCUUGGAAGAGAGUGCCGCGGAGGGUGAGAGUCCCGUCUGUCACCUGCAGUCCCUUGUGUACGGCCUGCGUUCUAAGAGUCACGUUCCUCGGGAUUGGAGCGCAAAUUGGGUGGUAAGUUUCACCUUAAGCUAAAUAUUGGUCCGAGACCGAUAGCAAACAAGUACCAUGAGGGAAAGGUGAAAAGGACUUUGAAAAGAGAGUUAAAAGUGCUUGAAAUUGCUGAAAGGGAAGCGAAUGGAACCAGUUCCGCUGGGUGAGAUUGUCGCAUGCCAAAGCUCCGUGCCGGUCGCAUGCGGUGCUUCUUGCCUUGUGUGUCAGCUGCGGUCCGAGGUUGGGGAAAACUCCGGGGACAUGGAUGCCAACCUUCGGGGGGGUGAAUGUGCCUGGCAAGACCCGUCUUCGGACCGUGAGCAGUGCUUGGCAUGUUUGCGGUGUUGACGAAAUGCUUUCAUUCGACCCGUCUUGAAACACGGACCGAGGAGUCUAACAUGUGUGCGAGCUCACGGGUGUCAAACCUGCUUGCGCAAUGAAAGUGACUGCUGGGAUACUUGCACCAGCAACCGAUCUGUCAACCGAGAGAGAUUUGAGUUUGAGCAUACCUGUUAGGACCCGAAAGAUGG